AUGAGCGCCUCUGAAAGGUGCACCGUCUUUGACAACUUUCUCGCCGACCCCAGGUACACCUUUGCAGGCUUCUCCAUCGAUGGCGACAAAACCAGGCUAGAGCGCGUCAAACUAGAGAAGAAGAUCACCGACGACGAGCACAGGCGCUGGGCCACCCUGCCUCUGUCCAUGAGGCACAUCGAGUACGCGGAAAAGGACGCCUAUGCAGCAACAAACACGAGAGAGCAGAGGAGAGUCAUGGCGGAUGCACCUCUAUACAAGCAACAACCGCACGUACACCAGGGAGCUCCACGACAUCCACCUCCAUGGCAAUCACAAGCUCCAUGUCGUUUGCACAAGCAAGGGUAA
rnacentral:rRNA from 1 species